AGUGAACGCUGGCGGCGUGCUUAACACAUGCAAGUCGAACGGAAAGGCCCUGCUUUUGUGGGGUGCUCGAGUGGCGAACGGGUGAGUAACACAUGAGUAACCUGCCCUUGACUUUGGGAUAACUUCAGGAAACUGGGGCUAAUACCGGAUAGGAGCUCCUGCUGCAUGGUGGGGGUUGGAAAGUUUCGGCGGUUGGGGAUGGACUCGCGGCUUAUCAGCUUGUUGGUGGGGUAGUGGCUUACCAAGGCUUUGACGGGUAGCCGGCCUGAGAGGGUGACCGGCCACAUUGGGACUGAGAUACGGCCCAGACUCCUACGGGAGGCAGCAGUGGGGAAUAUUGCACAAUGGGCGGAAGCCUGAUGCAGCAACGCCGCGUGCGGGAUGACGGCCUUCGGGUUGUAAACCGCUUUCGCCUGUGACGAAGCGUGAGUGACGGUAAUGGGUAAAGAAGCACCGGCUAACUACGUG
rnacentral:rRNA from 1 species